GCGGAUGGCUGGAUGGCUGCGGGCCUGUCAUGGGUUCGAGGAAAGUCCGGACUCCACAAAGCACGGUGCCGGGUAACGCCCGGCGGGGGUAACCCCAGGGAAAGCGCCACAGAGAACAGACUACCUCGUAUAGCGGGGAAAAGGUGAAACGGUGGGGUAAGAGCCCACCGCGGGACGGGCAACCGGACCGGCACGGCAAGCCCCACCGGGAGCAAUGCCAAAUAGGGACCGCGCGCGGUGUUGAUCCUGCAAAGGAUAUCAGCCGCAGGGAGGCUUGAGCCCGAGCGGUCCGGGUUGGCAGCUAGAGAGCGUCUGGCAACAGGCGUUCCAGAUGAAUGGUCAUCCAGGGUGGUUCGCCACCUGGACAGAAUCCGGCUUACAGGCCAUCCGCGCAA
rnacentral:RNase_P_RNA from 19 species